rnacentral:rRNA from 1 species
UACGUAGGGGGCUAGCGUUGUCCGGAAUCAUUGGGCGUAAAGGGUGCGUAGGCGGUCGGGUAAGUCGGAUGUGAAAUCUCAGGGCUCAACCCUGAAACUGCAUUCGAUACUGCCUGGCUAGGGUACUGGAGAGGAGACUGGAAUUUACGGUGUAGCAGUGAAAUGCGUAGAGAUCGUAAGGAAGACCAGUGGCGAAGGCGGGUCUCUGGACAGUUCCUGACACUGAGGCACGAAGGCCAGGGGAGCAAACGGG